ensembl:lncRNA
ACCCCAGUCACUUCCCACUAUAACUGAUUAAGGCCAAGGAUUAUAUGCCAAAACGACCUGUUUCUGCUGUUUCUGCGCUCAGACCCCCCGGCCGGAAGCUCCUUCUGUGAUGUGAAGGCCACCAGGGUACACGAGGGCAGGCCGACCACCAGUCCUCUGCGGGCACCAGGUCUACAGACAACCCGCGUCCACAGCAAGUCACAGGGCUGAGCCCCAAGACAGGGCCAGGAAGGGCCCGCCCCAUGGAAGAGGCGGGCAGGCGUUCCUGGACAACUGACUCACCUCUGUCUCUUCCGGCAAUCCCAAGUUCCCAAGGUCGCUGCCCUGAGCCACAUCCUGGACCCGCCACGCACUCGUUUCUCUGUAGACCCAGGAGAUCUAUGAAUGGCCAAGAAGCUAAUGAAAGCAUGCUCGACUCCUGGGAACAAACCCAGAGGGUAGAAAACAAGGUCUCAGACAGAUACCCGUGCACAGACAGCCACCGCAGCUCGACUCACGCCACCCAGAGUGGAAAGCAGCCGCACCGCCACAGUGCACGAGCUGGACGAGCACACUGCUUCAUCCAUACAAUGGAACGUUAUUCGGUCACGGAAAGCGAUGCCCAACACGCGUGAACACACACCAGGAGAAAGAAGCCACAGGCCGUGUCUCGUAUGAUUCCAGAACAGGCAGAUCCACAGCCAGAGAGAGCAAACUGGUGGUUGCCGCGGAAGGAAGGAGGGGAGUGUGGGGGUGACGCUUUCUUUUCAAGGUGAUGAAAAUGUUCUGGAGUCAGAUCGUGCUGAUGUUUGUUCAAUAUUGGGAAUGUGCUAAAAACCACUGAACUGUACCCUUUAAAACACUGAUUCUUUUUUGUCAUGUGGAUUAUAUCUUAAUUUUAGAAUUGCACACACACACCCUGAGCUGGAUGAGAUCUCCGCUCAGCACCCCAGGCCACAGAAACCGCGAGCGUGUCCCUGGC